GUCACGGGGCGCGCGCUGAUGCGAACGGGGUGACAGAUGGGAACGCCUCCGAGACCGCCAGCGACGACCCCGCUCGGGCAGCCCCGGAUUUCCUCGGCUGCACCGGCGCCGGCAGCGGGGACCGAGGCCCGCGUCCGUUCGGGUCGGGCCGGGGCUUAGCCCCGCGCCCCACGGGCGGCCGGGACCCCACCCGGACCCCGCCGCGGUUCUGGGCCGCCGGAGCCUCGCGCCGCCUCUCGGGGACCUUGUCCCCUGGCCUCCGGCCUCUCGGGCCCCUCGCCUGCCGUCUAGGAGGGAAGGGGCCUUGGAUCUGUGCCCCGCCCAUGGAACAGCGCCCGGGCUCGGAGAGGCCCCGCGAGGCCGCAGGCGCAGACCCUCCCGGAGGGCUGGGCGGGCACCGGGGUCUUCGGCUGGCUUGAGGGACCCGACCCCUGGGGGAGGAAUUUGGGGUCUGUGUGUCCGAAUGAACGCGGGGGUUCAGAUGAGUCUGUGGUGCCCCCGCUUUCCAUCUCCUCCGGCCCCGGCCCCAGAGGACUGUCUGAGAGGCCGGUGGCCGCGGAUCCUGGACGCGCCUCCCUCCUGCCUGUGGUUUCCCUUUAUUCCGGCAGCGGCGCGAGCCCACCCUUCACAUACAGGAGCUACAUCCAGAAGCUUCUCCUGGGGCCACAGCGUGGGCUUCCGAGACUCUGCGUGACCCCAGCUCUGCCCCUUUGGGGCUGCGGGUGAAGCCCUCAGGACCCUCCGCGUGCGUUGGGCAGGUGCACACAUUGUCUGCCCAGAGAGGGCCAAGAUGCCCCAGGCACCCCUUCGCUCCGGGGGCUCAGGACACAGGCUCCCAGCUGAGGCCACGCCUGGACCCAGAGCUGAUGUUUGGCUGCACGCGAGCCCACUCGGGACAGACCCAAGAACACGAAUUCUCUCCCUUUGGAUUUAAGGCUGGUGUUUUUUGACAUUUACUUCAGUUUUUCUCUCUGAAAUUAAAAUUACCUGAGUAAAA
rnacentral:lncRNA from 1 species